UACAAGCAGUGGGAGCCUCUUUAUGGGGUGACUGCGUACCUUUUGUAUAAUGGGUCAGCGACUUAUAUUCUGUAGCAAGGUUAACCGAAUAGGGGAGCCGAAGGGAAACCGAGUCUUAACUGGGCGUUAAGUUGCAGGGUAUAGACCCGAAACCCGGUGAUCUAGCCAUGGGCAGGUUGAAGGUUGGGUAACACUAACUGGAGGACCGAACCGACUAAUGUUGAAAAAUUAGCGGAUGACUUGUGGCUGGGGGUGAAAGGCCAAUCAAACCGGGAGAUAGCUGGUUCUCCCCGAAAGCUAUUUAGGUAGCGCCUCGUGAAUUCAUCUCCGGGGGUAGAGCACUGUUUCGGCAAGGGGGUCAUCCCGACUUACCAACCCGAUGCAAACUGCGAAUACCGGAGAAUGUUAUCACGGGAGACACACGGCGGGUGCUAACGUCCGUCGUGAAGAGGGAAACAACCCAGACCGCCAGCUAAGGUCCCAAAGUCAUGGUUAAGUGGGAAACGAUGUGGGAAGGCCCAGACAGCCAGGAUGUUGGCUUAGAAGCAGCCAUCAUUUAAAGAAAGCGUAAUAGCUCACUGGUCGAGUCGGCCUGCGCGGAAGAUGUAACGGGGCUAAACCAUGCACCGAAGCUGCGGCAGCGACACUAUGUGUUGUUGGGUAGGGGAGCGUUCUGUAAGCCUGUGAAGGUGGCCUGUGAGGGUGGCUGGAGGUAUCAGAAGUGCGAAUGCUGACAUAAGUAACGAUAAAGCGGGUGAAAAGCCCGCUCGCCGGAAGACCAAGGGUUCCUGUCCAACGUUAAUCGGGGCAGGGUGAGUCGACCCCUAAGGCGAGGCCGAAAGGCGUAGUCGAUGGGAAACAGGUUAAUAUUCCUGUACUUGGUGUUACUGCGAAGGGGGGACGGAGAAGGCUAUGUUGGCCGGGCGACGGUUGUCCCGGUUUAAGCGUGUAGGCUGGUUUUCCAGGCAAAUCCGGAAAAUCAAGGCUGAGGCGUGAUGACGAGGCACUACGGUGCUGAAGCAACAAAUGCCCUGCUUCCAGGAAAAGCCUCUAAGCAUCAGGUAACAUCAAAUCGUACCCCAAACCGACACAGGUGGUCAGGUAGAGAAUACCAAGGCGCUUGAGAGAACUCGGGUGAAGGAACUAGGCAAAAUGGUGCCGUAACUUCGGGAGAAGGCACGCUGAUAUGUAGGUGAAGUCCCUCGCGGAUGGAGCUGAAAUCAGUCGAAGAUACCAGCUGGCUGCAACUGUUUAUUAAAAACACAGCACUGUGCAAACACGAAAGUGGACGUAUACGGUGUGACGCCUGCCCGGUGCCGGAAGGUUAAUUGAUGGGGUCAGCGCAAGCGAAGCUCUUGAUCGAAGCCCCGGUAAACGGCGGCCGUAACUAUAACGGUCCUAAGGUAGCGAAAUUCCUUGUCGGGUAAGUUCCGACCUGCACGAAUGGCGUAAUGAUGGCCAGGCUGUCUCCACCCGAGACUCAGUGAAAUUGAACUCGCUGUGAAGAUGCAGUGUACCCGCGGCAAGACGGAAAGACCCCGUGAACCUUUACUAUAGCUUGACACUGAACAUUGAGCCUUGAUGUGUAGGAUAGGUGGGAGGCUUUGAAGUGUGGACGCCAGUCUGCAUGGAGCCGACCUUGAAAUACCACCCUUUA
rnacentral:rRNA from 1 species